rnacentral:sRNA from 1 species
GCCCAAAUCGCACGUGCCUGUGGUUGCGCGUCGGUUGAAAAACCGGCGGCCGGAUGCGAACCGGCGGACCCCUCGGGGGAUCGCGACUUGAAGCAACGACGGACCGGGCUUUU